rnacentral:misc_RNA from 1 species
GAUGAAGAACGUAGCGAAAUGCGAUAAGUAAUGCGAAUUGCAGAAUUCCGUGAGUCAUCGAAUCUUUGAACGCACAUUGCGCCCGCCAGUAUUCUGGCGGGCAUGCCUGUUCGAGCGUCAUUUCAACCAUCAAGCCCCCGGCUUGUGUUGGGGACCUGCGGCUGCCGCAGGCCCUGAAAAGCAGUGGCGGGCUCGCUGUCACACCGAGCGUAGUAGAUUUCAUCUCGCUCAGGGCGUGCUGCGGGUUCCGGCCGUUAAACCACCUUCAUAACCCAAGGUUGACCUCGGAUCAGGUAGGAAGACCCGCUGAACUUAAGCAUAUCAAUAAGCGGAGGA